CUCCUACGGGAGGCAGCAGUGGGGAAUUUUGCACAAUGGGGGCAACCCUGAUGCAGCGACGCCGCGUGAUUUAGAAGGCCUUCGGGUUGUAAAAAUCUUUUGUAUAGGAAGAAAAUGACAGUACUAUACAAAUAAGGUCCGGCUAAUUACGUGCCAGCAGCCGCGGUAAUACGUAAGGACCGAGCGUUGUCCGGAAUCAUUGGGCGUAAAGGGUACGUAGGCGGUUAGAAAAGUUAGAAGUGAAAGGCUAUAGCUCAACUAUAGUAAGCUUUUAAAACUGUUUAACUUGAGAGAUGGAAGGGAAAGUGGAAUUCCUAGUGUAGCGGUGAAAUGCGCAGAUAUUAGGAGGAAUACCGGUGGCGAAGGCGACUUUCUGGCCAUUAUCUGACGCUGAGGUACGAAAGCGUGGGUAGCAAACAGGAUUAGAUACCCUGGUAGUCCACGCCGUAAACGAUGAGUGUUAGGUGUCUGGAGUAAAUCUGGGUGCCGCAGCUAACGCAAUAAACACUCCGCCUUGGGAGUACGCACGCAAGUGUGAAACUCAAAGGAAUUGACGGGGACCCGCACAAGCAGCGGAGCAUGUGGUUUAAUUCGAAGCAACGCGAAGAACCUUACCAAGUCUUGACAUAUUUCGGAGGGAAUUAGAGAUAAUUUCUUAGAGCUUCGGCUCACUGAAAUACAGGUGGUGCAUGGUUGUCGUCAGCUCGUGUCGUGAGAUGUUGGGUUAAGUCCCAUAACGAGCGCAACCCCUAUGGCUAGUUACCAUCAUUAAGUUGGGGACUCUAGCAAUACUGCCGGUGACAAACCGGAGGAAGGUGGGGAUGACGUCAAAUCAUCAUGCCCUAUAUGACUUGGGCUACACACGUGCUACAGUGGCAGGUACAGAGGGCAGCGAGACGGUGACGUCAAGCAAACCUCAAAAAGCCUGUCCCAGUUCGGAUUGCACUCUGCAACUCGAGUGCAUGAAGUUGGAGUUGCUAGUAAUCGCAGAUCAGAAUGCUGCGGUGAAUGCGUUCCCGGGUCUUGUACACACCGCCCGU
rnacentral:rRNA from 1 species